ensembl:lncRNA
CAGAUAAUCUUAAAGAAGUAUAUCUUUAACCAUGUGCUCCUUGUUACUCACAUAGGAGGACUUACACAGAGAGGAAUCACUUAACUUUUACUUGAUGAGCCAUAAUAAAUCUGUGAAAAUGAGCGUUCUAUCUAGAAUUACAACAUAUUUAAUCAGUUCCCAGUCAGAAAUCAGGCACUCAUGAUCCUAUCUUUUUCUCAGGGAAGACGAUGAGAAACUCCAAGUAAUUUUAAAAGAAACAGGAACAAAUUCUAUGCAAACACAAAUAAUUUAUUAAAUUAAAGAAAACGAGCUCAUGGAAAGGAAGAAAAACUGUACAGGCAUUUUUCAAAGAACUUUCAGAGUGUAAUAUCCUUCUGAAAUUAAGCCAAGUUAGGCUAACUGUUUUGACUUUAAAUUUGGACAGAAGGAGAUGCAUUUAAGAAGCAGAGGCUGAUAUCAAUGGACUCUGAGCAUCAUAGCUGAUUCUUCUUCUUACCUGAUCAGAGCUCUAGAAGUUUAACCUACUCUGCAUGACUUUCCAGUACUGGGGUGAUAAAAAAUAAAGACCUGUUUUUUGUUUACAUGUAAAGCAAGGUGAGGGAGAAUAUUUGAGUAUAUUUGGUGUUGCAAAAUCAGGUCUCAGCAAUUUGACAGUAAGCACUAACCUUAGCAAUUGUAUUCUACUUGAGUUGAGUGGUAUUGUGUUGGUGCAGCUUCUCUCUUCUGCUCUAAAGCUAAGACACCUAGUGUAGUCCCUCUUUGGCUUUACAUGACUUUUUUUUGUUAUACAUCUCAUACUGUGCUUUUCUCAGUUGUCAGCUGAUAUGGAGACCAUUGUCUCACUUUCUUGCUAAAAUGCUCAGUUGCCUGUGUCGUACUGGGGUCUGAAUCUACUGUGCACUGAACACACUGUGAGUAGCUUUGUAUGUUAAGGACCUACUGCUAUAAGGUCUCUUGUUCAUCUCUUUUUUUUUUUAAAUUUGUAUUACUGUGGUUCAGGAUCACAACUUCAUGCACAAAAUUGAUCCUUUGCAGUAUAUAAACAAAGCAGUGGGCAAGAGCGGUAUGAAAAUUCAGCGCUGGUCGCUUAUGGUAGAUAUCAAAGGUUUAGUAUGUUCAGAGAAGUACUUUGACACAGUCUUCCUGGACUGUGAUGUUUAAAGGCAUUAUAGACUUCUGAAGAUUAGGUGGAAAUUUAGUCCUUAAUAGCACUGGAUGCCAACUGGUGGCACCUCAUCUCCCCACUGCUGUCCUACUCUCCUCAUCCAAGUAUCUACCUCACUGCUGUAGAUGCCAUGUUACUCCAACAGCUAUGACAGGAAGCUGUUUUGAAAUGCAUAAGGCUCAGGAAAGUGACUGGAAGCAGUUAGUAUGGAUUUAUGAAGAGGAAAUAGCUUGUGGUGAAAUUACUGGCCUGAGGAUGAGGAAAGCAGUAGUGGAUGUUGUGAAUUUAAUGGAUCUUCCAAUAUUUUGUCACACAUUGAAGACAAGUUGAUGUAAUAUGGACUAGGUAAGUGGACAGUGGCGUGGACUGAUUCUCAUUCCUGAUUCCCAUUUGUGCAGAGGCAGCAGGUUUCCUUAAGCCAUGGCUUGUUUUGGGUUGAGAGGUCAUGAGGCAUCUGACAGUCUGUAAGUCUGAAUGGCCCUGGAAGUAUGUUCUUACAGGUAGAAGCUCCCUCAGAUGACAACUGUGGCAGUGGUAAGCCAAGUGUACCUGGAUAAAAAUCCAGUGUUGCUGGAUAUUUUGCAGUUGGAAUGCUUCCUAGACAUCUCUAGUUCUCACAUGUUCUCUACAUUUAUAUCUGUUUUCACAGUACUUCCAAAUAUGGUAAUGUGUGGUAGAUAUUUCACUUGAACUUGGAUUUCUGGCUGUUAUGUCCCAUUGGCAAAUAGUUUCCAUGUUGAACAAAGGAAGAAUUAACAUCAAUCAUUUUCUGAUAUCUUUAUCCAAGCUCAAAACCUAGGUCAGAAGCCUUUUAGCAUCACAGAUACAUCUUUUUCCUUUUU